rnacentral:lncRNA from 10 species
UCCAGGAUCCUAAGGAAAAAGACAUUUGCAAACAAGUGAUCCGAAGACAUUUUUCUAAACAGGUGCUGUGGUUACUGGGAUAAGAGUUACUAUUGUAAACCACUUGAAUUUACGACUAAGUUUCCAAUCAUUUAAAAAGAAUAUUCAUUUCAAAUUAUAAUGUCCAAACCAAGAGGACCAGCUCCUGAUCAUAAUGACAUUCAAUGAGGACAGAAAGUAAUAUUGUAUAAUUGUUAUUAUUACCAUAAUGACAUUGUUCAUGUACAAAUGAGAAGAAUGUAUAUUGGGUAUCAAAAUAAAACCAACCAAACACAUAAUUAGGAUGGAACCUAGUUAAACAGUUGAAGAGAGGAGACUUAAAGCAACAAGACUUGGCUAAUACUUCUCCCUCCAAUUCUUGCUCCAGGAAACAUUGCAUAGAAACAAAAGACAUGACUACCAUAUGCCAAUAACUGCUUUAACAAGCUGGAGUAAUUGGUAUCAUGGAGCCAGACUGAUGGAACAAAGAAAGGAUGACCUCAGGAUUUAAAGAGUUUAGGGACAGAAAAACAUUUUAAAAAUCCAGUUUAAUUCAGAGGAUAGUUAGAGAUGUCUGGCUCCAACUGAGAGAAGGAAAGGGUAUUGAUUUGCGUGAGUGGCUCUCCAUUGGGCUCUUCUAACUCAAAAGAGAUAAUUGGCCUUGAAUAGUAGCUUUUAUAUUGAAUUUAUAUUGAGUUCUCUUGAUGUUCUUGGUAUGUGCUCUUCAAAGCCCAAGACCACUCCCUGAUCUUGUUUAUAUUUGCUAGUCCUAAUGAUCUUUCAUGUGUCAGACGUGCUGAAUGAAGACGAUUGCCUUCUGAUCAUUUAACUCUUCUCUGCCAGUUUCAAGGUUGGCUUCCAUAUUUUAGCAAGCAAAAUAAUAGGCAUCUCCAAGUCACAGUAUGCAGACAGGAAUAGACAAAUACCCACUUUAGCUAAGUAUGGGCUGCAGUCAAGCUGGAAAAGGUCUCUCAGCUCUGAGUCACUUAUACAAUCGAGUCCCUGAACAUGUUUCUGUCCCUAAUAUUUUGUUGCUCUGGGCAACCAUCAAGUCCACAUGAAGACUUCUGCCAACUGGAGAGGAUGACUAGAUAGGAGUGCCAGAAUUUUCUUUUAACUCUUUGUUGAAAACUCAAAAUAGCAAAUGGUGUCAAGGAUAUCCCCUAAACAUCCAGAUUGGAAAAAGUGGAAUUCACACAUUGCCUUGGUAUCUUUUAUUCACUUCUUAGGGAAAUAUGACUAAAGAAGAUAAAGGCAAUUCAUCAGAGGCAUGCAUUUUUUUAUAAUAAUAAAAUAUUAGGAAAAAGUUAGAUGAUUAGGUACUAUUUAAUCCAAUAUCAUCAUUUUACAGAACACAACCCAGGUUAAAUUACUGACCAAAAAUUACACAGAGAGCUAGGCAGAGCUGGGAUUAUACCCCUGGUCUUAAAACCCUGAGGUCAUUGCUCUUUCCUGGACUUUCAGAAGCCCAGUGCCAGAGGCAAAGUGAAGAAAUGUUAAGAAAUCACAAGUGAUCACCUCUCUUUUGUAAUAGCAAACGGUUCUAGUUGAAAAGGGCUGCUUUGCUGGGAUACUGGAAGCAAUCCUAAAGCUCUGGAGUAGUUAUCACCCAUUAACACUCCCAAUACAGAAAGUGUGACUAUGGCACAUUAAACUAAAGCAUCUAAAGAGUGUUCAAGGCCCAACAAAAAUACCAUGUUUGCUGGAAGCCUUCAUUGCUUAUUAUUCUAAUUUGGUCUUUGCCUCCUCUGAAUUCUUACGAUACUCUGUGGUACAGUCCUGAGACUACUUAAGAUUUUUUGCCCAGGCUGGAGUGCUGUGAUCAUAGCUCAUUGCAGCCUAGACCUCUUGGGCUCAAGCAACCCUCCUAUCUCAACUCCCCCAGUAGCUAGGACUACAGGCAUGUGCCACCAUGCCUGGCUAAUUUUUGUAUUUUUUUUUUGUAGAGAAAAGGUUUCAUCAUGUUGCCCAGGCUGGUCUGAAAUUCCUAGGCUCAAGUGAUCCUCCUGCCUCAGCCUCCCAAAGUGCUGCGAUUAGAGGUGUGAGCCACCACACCUAGACAGUUUCUUUUGCACAUGUACAAUUAUAUUGUGUCAAGUCCUUGGGGGUAGGACUAUAUCUUAUUCAUUUUUGUUUUCUUGAAACCCAGAGCACAGAAUUAAACAUAUUUUGGUUGAUUUUAUUUUCUCUAGAGGUACAGUGACGACUUACUUAUCCAGAUUAAUUAUCCAGGAAUUUAUACUAUUCAAAAUCAGUAAGUAGGUGAAAAGAACCCAGAAAAGUCAAGUAAACACUUGUAGGAUCUUGUUCACUUUAUGCAUCUCAUAUCCUAAAGGUCUACCUCAGAAAUGAAUUGCCCUCAACCUUCACUUUUAUUUUGAAUUAAUUUACCUUUAUUUUAUGCUCAAUGCAAUAGCUUGGUAAUCAGGUUUGCCAAGGAAAAAGCAGCAGCAGCUCACAAAAGAUGCCAAUAAAGCCAAGCUUAGUAACAUCAUGA